GUCAAACAAUUGGUGUGCUUCAAGAAAAAAUUUUCAUCAACAAAACUCCUUCCUUGAAAAUCAAGAAAAACAAGAAAGGUUAAAAUCAAAUCAAAAUCUGAAAAUCCAAACUCCAAAAAUUAAAAUGAAGUCUUUUGAAUCGAACAUUUACAUUGAAGAUAACCAAAUCACCAAUAACAACACAGAUCACAACUGGCAAACAGUCAUCUGCAUGAAAAAGUAAUGAAGUAGAAGCCUAUAGAUUCUGUCGCUGUUGUUAAUGGCGGUAAAAUCAAAAUCUAACAUGUUUUGCUCCUUGGAGCAGAAUCUAAAAGAGUGAUAUCGAUGACUUUUUCCUAGGGAGUUGAGGUUCGAUACGGAGGCAGUGCCUAUGUCUUGGGCAUUCCGCUUCUACUUCAUCGGCUGAAGAGAAGGUGAAGGUGCAAGAUAAGUGGAGGAGAGAGGAUGAGGAAAUGAAGUUUGAAGUAGAGGCUUGGGAGGUGAUAUUAGUUGGAGAGAUUAAGGUGGCGGAGGCUUUGAUUAGAGGUUGAUAGGUGGUGGUAAUCGUAGAGGAGUGAUAAGGAUUGGUGGCGGUGGUGAUGGAGGGCUGUAAUAAAUAUGUAUUGAUUUUUGUCCAUGGGCAUAUAUUGUCAUUCAAAAAAAAACCCAUCUCAC
rnacentral:lncRNA from 1 species